AGCAGCCUUGAAUUCUUCCUCGGUCUUGUAUUCCUUGUGGUUUUGGGCGAGUUCCUUAAGAGCAGCCUUCUCCUCAGCGGUGAUGGCCUUGAGG
rnacentral:sRNA from 1 species